UGGCUAAAGCACCUGCCUUGUAAACAGGAGAUCCUGGGUUCAGCUCCCAGUGGUGCCUUACUGUGGCC
rnacentral:miRNA from 1 species